rnacentral:lncRNA from 1 species
GGCUACUCAGUGAGUCCCUGAAGUAGGAGGCUGCUGGUCGGAGGUGCAGAAAGUCUAGAGCAAUAAAUACCUUAGGCUCUCCAUCCGCACUCCCACCCCGUAACACUCCCAAGACAAAUGAUAGGGAAUCGAGUUUCUCAUUUCCUUUGUGAGCAGCGAGACAGAAGGCUUCUGCUGUAUCCCUGACAGUAAGAAAGGUUAGCAACCCAGACCACAAACUCCCAAGUUAUCUGCCUGGUCUGUAUUGUUCAUUUGGAAGAGAUCUCAGUUCAGCAUUUGUUUGGGGCUCGCUGGAGCUGUACUCUAACACAGUUUUCCAUUUUUGCAGGUACUGGUUUUGGAUUAGGAAUGGUUUUCUCCCUCACCUUCUUUAAGAGAAGAAAGUGGCCAUUAGCCUUUGGUUCUGGCGUGGGACUGGGGAUGGCCUACUCCAACUGUCAGCAUGACUUUCAGGCUCCAUAUCUUCUACAUGGAAAAUAUGUCAAAGAGCAGUGACUUAUGCUGAGAACAUCCCAGCGGGAGAAAAGAGAAGCCUCAUUUAUUCCUCAGGAAUACUGAAGUGCCCUGGAGUGCGCUGACGUCCUGUGACAGUGCCAUCAGCAACGCUUUCAACUCCAGCCACUGUUUAUGUGUUUGAAACCAAGUCUGUUGCUUUUGUAUCAUCUCUUUGGAAAUUGUAAGGAGGUCUUAAAUAAAUGAGAAACAGGAAGCCCG